rfam:Ornithorhynchus anatinus chromosome 3, whole genome shotgun sequence.
AGCAGCGUGGCUCAGUGGAAAGAGCCGGGCUUGGGAGUCAGAGGUCAUGGGUUCGAAUCCCAGCUCUGCCA